GGUGGGUGGUGGAAAGAUUUAUCGGUGCAGGAUGGGCCCGCGGCCUAUCAGCUUGUUGGUGGGGUAAUGGCCUACCAAGGCGACGACGGGUAGCCGACCUGAGAGGGUGACCGGCCACACUGGGACUGAGACACGGCCCAGACUCCUACGGGAGGCAGCAGUGGGGAAUAUUGCACAAUGGGCGAAAGCCUGAUGCAGCGACGCCGCGUGAGGGAUGACGGCCUUCGGGUUGUAAACCUCUUUCAGCAGGGACGAAGCGCAAGUGACGGUACCUGCAGAAGAAGCACCGGCUAACUACGUGCCAGCAGCCGCGGUAAUACGUAGGGUGCAAGCGUUGUCCGGAAUUACUGGGCGUAAAGAGUUCGUAGGCGGUUUGUCGCGUCGUUUGUGAAAACCAGCAGCUCAACUGCUGGCUUGCAGGCGAUACGGGCAGACUUGAGUACUGCAGGGGAGACUGGAAUUCCUGGUGUAGCGGUGAAAUGCGCAGAUAUCAGGAGGAACACCGGUGGCGAAGGCGGGUCUCUGGGCAGUAACUGACGCUGAGGAACGAAAGCGUGGGUAGCGAACAGGAUUAGAUACCCUGGUAGUCCACGCCGUAAACGGUGGGCGCUAGGUGUGGGUUCCUUCCAC
rnacentral:rRNA from 1 species